UUGAAAAUAUAAAAUUAUAGUAACUUUCAACGAGUCGGUUUUCCGAAAUAAGAGUAUGUUUUGUUUAUCAUGGUUUACUAAAUAUCAGACAUCCCUAAGAGUGCAAAGUAACGGUUUUUCCUAA